rnacentral:rRNA from 1 species
CGAGCGAAGCGGGAAGAGCUCAAAUUUGUAAUCUGGCAGCGAUGCCCGAGUUGUAAUCUAUAGAGUCGUUUUCGGUGCCGGACCGCGUCCAAGUCCCUUGGAACAGGGUAUCAAAGAGGGUGACAAUCCCGUGCUUGACGCGAUUUCCGGGGCUGUGUGAUACGAUUUCUACGAGUCGAGUUGUUUGGGAAUGCAGCUCUAAACGGGUGGUAAAUUCCAUCUAAAGCUAAAUAUUGGCGAGAGACCGAUAGCGAACAAGUACCGUGAGGGAAAGAUGAAAAGCACUUUGGAAAGAGAGUUAAACAGUACGUGAAAUUGUUGAAAGGGAAACGAUUGAAGUCAGUCGUGUUUGUUGGUUUCAGCAGGCUCUGCCUGUGUAUUACCUUCAAACGGGUCAACAUCGGUUAGCCUGGGCGCAGAAAGGUAUCGGGAAGGUAGCACCCUCGGGUGUGUUAUAGCCUGAUGCCAUAUUCGUCCGGGCUGACCGAGGACUGCGGUGUGCCCGCAAGGGCGGUCCAUCUGGUCCCCACACCUGG